UAUAUUCCAUAAAUUUUGGUAAGCCUAAUGUUCAUCAAACGAUUGUUCUUAGAAGUAGCCAAACAUGUGUGAUAGCGAUAACAGUAAACAAUCUAUUCUUUUGAUUAUUCAUUUUUCAAACCAAAGCAAGUAAUACCUGCGUGAGAUAUACUUUUGAUACUAAUUCAAAUCAUCUAUGUUAGUCGUCACUAGAAAAGUAUAAUUGUAGUAGUUUUUAAAUUGUAAAGAAAGUUUAAAUAUGUAUUAAGUCAAUCGUGAUUAAUACGAUAAAACUCUUCUUCUUGUUUAUUGCCUCCACUAAAUGUAUCAUAAGAGCUAGACGAACUGCUAAAGAAAGCAAGAGGAAAAUCGGAAGCAGCUAAAAGAAGGUUUCAUGUGUUGGAAGCUCUUGAUGAAGAAGCUGGACCAUCAUACUCAUGGAGUCUAUUAAAUAACAGUUUGAAUAGGAGGGUGCCAAAAACGUCCAGUCUUUAGGGUGCACCAGGAUACAUCCUAGUGUCUCGGCGACCCAGCACGAGCCUGCAUGAACAAAGCAAAAGCCUUCACGUUGCGACAGCUGCCGCCGUAGAAUCCACCCUUGUCAUCCUGGUCACACAUGCACGUGCCGCACACGCAGAUUCCCCGACCACUGCAGAUCUUCC